GGCAAAAGUGUGCAAAAAAGUUGAGAAUAUUGGAAAAAUGGAUAGCAACAGUGCGACAUCUGUCAAAAAAUAGCAAAAAUCUGCCAUUUUUGAGCAGUGUUGCCUACUCAAAUUUGGUAAAAUCAACCAAAUGCACGGAAUUCUUGUGCAUUACAAACUUGCAUUAACAUGGGUCAAAUGCGCAAAUAAAUGUAAAUUAAGCCCGCUAAUGCCUAUUAGCGCUGUCGUCUGUCAGGGCUAUUACUCCUCAGUUGCACGAUCAAGAACCUGGUUUAAAGCACGCAGCUUGUUUAACAAAUCACAAAUAUUUUUUGUAGGCUUCUAAUGUAAAAUUGACUCUUAAAAUUAUUAGAAUGUUUAAAAUAAAACUGACCAAUUUAUGUUGAUAUUUUACAUACACAAUAAUUAUUUCUCAAUUUUCGUUCUUACUUUACUUUGGGUUAACAUAAAUGAAAACUAUGUAACUACUAAACUACUAAAUACCAAUAUAUACAACAACAACUCUAUCAACUAAGAAUAUUUACACAUAUACAUACAUACAUAAGUAUAUCAUUUUUCUUAGUUAGCUACUGUGCACUAAACUAUUUAUCAAAAUUUAUGAAAAUUGAAAGCCGUGACUUGAUAAUCGAUAAUAAUUUCAAGACACCAUCUUCAGGGAAACCAAGUAAAAUUCUUAAAAAUUUUCCGUGAAAUUAAUAAUAUAAUCUAUGAAAAUAACGAAAUAUUCACACUACCGACAAUAGCUUGUCAUUUAUUUGGAAAACUAUAUUAUCAGCAAUUUUAACUUGAUCGUCAACUUGCCCUACAACUGAUUUUAAUAGCCUCUAUUUGAGUCAUUUUGAGGCAAAAUUUCAAUUUGCGACUAGUUACUAUUCACUAAACAGUCUCUAGCGUUAGUUUCAAAAUAUUGAGACCUGGUAGUUAGCAGGUCACAAAACUAAAAAGAGCUCUUGUCUGCCAUUUUGAAUAUACUGUUACAAAAAGUAGUAUUAAGUUGUAUUUGUAUUACUAUAUGCAUCCCUGAUUAUGAACAAUAGCUGUAGGUAUAUGGAAUAGCAUUUGUCUUGUUGUAGACAUCUGGCGCCACACUGUCUGCUCGUCUAGUUAAACAAUUGCUGAGUCUGGCGCCGCGACUGUCUGCUUGCGUCUGGCGCCGUAUAGCCGUAUGUUCUGGUAAUUUCCAGACGCGAUAUUCUAGAAGGACACGUCGGCAUCAGCGAGAAGUGCGUGGCUAUAUAAGCCGUGGCAGCGCCAACGUAAUCAAUCAGUGUUAAGAGUAAACUCCUAUAGUGUAGACGAGUUGUGAAAUAAAGAGUUGUUGAAUUAAAUUAAACAGUGUUGAUUUUAUUUGUCAAUCCAGAGAUACGAACCUAACAAAGUAAACUAGCAAGAGUAAAUUCGUAACAAUUGGUGUCAGAAGUGGGAUUGUCAAAUAAUCCAAAUUCAAGAUGGUUAAAUUCGGAGAAUUGAGAAUUCAGCAAUUAAAAAAAGAACUGGAGGAGCGUAAUUUGCCGAUAAGCGGGCAAAAGGCGGAUCUGCAGGCACGAUUACGUGAAGCAAUGGAAGCGGAUGGAAUUAAUGUGGACGAGUUCGAAUUUAAUGGGCCAGAAACUUCUACAAAGGUAGAAGAAAAAGUAGAAGAACAACGAACAUCAUCGAGUGUGGACAUGAACAUGCUGUUAGUGGCUAUUAAGCAAAUAAUAGCUGAAAAUACAUCACAAAUAGCAGAAAAUGCAGUGCAAACAGAAAAUCGUCUGGCACAGCAAAUAGCUGAAAAUAUAUCACGAAUAACAGAAAAUGUAGUGCAAACAGAAAAUCGUCUGGCACAGCAAAUGACGCAAAUAGCUGAAAAUACAUCACAGUUAGAGUCUCGCCUUACACAACAGAUUACAGAAAAUACUACACAAGUACAAAAACAAGUGCAAGAGAAAUUUUCAAAAUUUGAAGACGAAUUAAGCACUUUAAAAAAUGACGAAGAAAAUUUAAAAGCAGAAGUUCUUCAAUUAAGUAAUCGUGUGCGAGAACUGCAAUUGCAUGGCCCUGCACCAUCGACAAAUAAUCAAAGAUUGAAGGCACCCACAUUCGAUGGAAGUAUUCCAUUUCAAAUUUUCAAACUUCAGUUUGAAAAGACAGCAAUGGCCAAUAACUGGAAUGCAGCGGACAAAGUGGCGUCCUUGUUUGUAUCAUUGAAAGGACCUGCGGCAGAAAUCCUUCAGACUAUUCCAGAUUGUGAACGGGACAACUAUGAGGCAUUGAUGAGUGCGAUAGAAAGACGAUAUGGUAGUGAGCACCGGAAACAAAUAUACCAGAUCGAACUGCAAAAUAGGGGUCAGAAGAUGAACGAGUCAUUGCAAGAGUUCGCAACUGAAAUAGAACGGCUGGCUCAUUUGGCAAAUGCAGAUGCACCUGUGGAUUACAUUGAGAGGGUAAAAAUUCAAAGCUUCAUAAAUGGAAUUCGUGAUGUGGACACCAAACGCGCCACAUAUGCAUUGCCAAAAAGAACGUUUGCUGAAACGGUUUCGCACGCCCUCACACAGGAAACAGCUUCCCUACUAAGUAAACCAGCACACAAAGUACAAAGGGUUGAAAUGGAACAACCGGCGCUGAUGGAGGAAAUAUUGAAGACUCUGAAGACAAUUGCUGCACAGCGAGUAAAUACAACAGGCAGAUGUUUCAACUGUGGAAAAGCGGGUCACUUUGCCCGAAAUUGCAAGAUAAAAGUAAACCCAUCAAAAUGGAAACAACCAACAGAACACCGAAAGAGGAUUCACCAUAAAAAUGCGGAUGCAUUAUCACAUCGCCCUUGUCCACUGGAAUUUAAACAUUGCUCCAAAUCAGAAGGAAAAGAAGGUAUAAUCGACGUGCGAUCACUGAAUAUAGAACCUGAAGAUGAUUGGACUCCUCACCGCAUCAGAAUUAAUCAGCUGGAGGACCCUGAUCUUGCAAAACUGAUAAUAGCCAAAGAAAAUGGGGUACGACCACCAAAGGAACAAAUAAGUAACGAGAGUCCAACUGCAAAAGCAUAUUGGGCCCAAUGGAACAGCAUAAACCUCGUUAAUGGAUACCUUCAUCGUACCUGGGAAAGCGAAGAUGGCAAACAUUCUCGUCUGCUGAUCAUAGUACCGAAGUCCAUGAUCCCAAAAGUAUUGAAAGAAUAUCACAAUGGACCUAGUGGAGGGCACCUUGGAAUAACAAAAACUAUAGAGAAGAUUAAACAACGGUUCUACUGGAUCGGUUGUCGAGAUUCCAUAGCAGAAUGGAUAAGUAAUUGCGUAGAGUGCAUGGCAGCUAAAGGUCCUAAAGCCAAAAGUCGCGGUAGGCUACAACAGUACAACGUGGGAUCACCAUUUGAACGAGUCGCAAUGGAUAUUGCAGGUCCGUUUCCAACCAGUACGGCCGGAAACAAAUAUCUACUGGUUGUCAUGGACUAUUUCAGUAAAUGGCCAGAAGUAUAUGCCUUACCAAACCAGGAAGCGAAGACAGUAGCCGAAGCGUUUGUAGAAAAUUGGAUAACAAGGUUCGGAGUGCCCGUCGAAUUACACUCAGAUCAAGGCAGGAAUUUCGAAUCUUCCAUUUUCCAAGAAGUCUGUACAUUAUUGGGCAUCCACAAGACACGGACAACAGCGUUACACCCACAAUCAGAUGGGAUGGUAGAGAGAUUCAACCGAACGCUCGAAGAACAUCUGCGGAAAAUCGUUGGUAAAGACCAACGGAAUUGGGACAAGUGCAUCCAGAUGUUCCUGCUGGCGUAUCGUUCAGCGAAGCACGAGACAACUGGUUACACGCCAGCAAAGAUUAUUUUCGGAUCUGAUCUGCGACUCCCUGCUGAUCUUAAGUUUGGUACGAAUCCUACAGCUGUAAGAAAUGAUGGAGAUUAUUGUUCUGCCUUAAAGGAAGAAAUGAAUGAAUUGCAUCUAAUGGUAAGACAGCAUACGCAUCUGAUGAGCAAUAAGAUGAAGGACCGGUUCGAUCAAGCGGCAAAUUCAAAAGGUUUUGAAGAAGGUGAUCUGGUCCUGUUGUACAAUCCACUUCGAAAGAAAGGCUUGUCCCCGAAAUUGCAGACAGCCUGGGAAGGACCCUAUAUGGUGAUGAAACGACUUAAUGACGUGGUAUACCGCAUACAAAGAAAUGGGAAAGCACGAUGUAAAAUGAAAGUAGUACAUUUGGAGAGGCUCGCCCCAUUUGGUUCAAGAGGAUUUGUGCCUAAUCGGGACGAUUAGGCUUUAGUGGAGGGCAGUGUUACAAAAAGUAGUAUUAAGUUGUAUUUGUAUUACUAUAUGCAUCCCUGAUUAUGAACAAUAGCUGUAGGUAUAUGGAAUAGCAUUUGUCUUGUUGUAGACAUCUGGCGCCACACUGUCUGCUCGUCUAGUUAAACAAUUGCUGAGUCUGGCGCCGCGACUGUCUGCUUGCGUCUGGCGCCGUAUAGCCGUAUGUUCUGGUAAUUUCCAGACGCGAUAUUCUAGAAGGACACGUCGGCAUCAGCGAGAAGUGCGUGGCUAUAUAAGCCGUGGCAGCGCCAACGUAAUCAAUCAGUGUUAAGAGUAAACUCCUAUAGUGUAGACGAGUUGUGAAAUAAAGAGUUGUUGAAUUAAAUUAAACAGUGUUGAUUUUAUUUGUCAAUCCAGAGAUACGAACCUAACAAAGUAAACUAGCAAGAGUAAAUUCGUAACAAUACUGAAUAGAGAUCAUUAUAGAUAUUAAUCGAUUGUCGUUUCUUUAUAUUUUGUAAGCAACUCAAACACGAAAAGAUGAAAAAUAAAUAAAUUUUACAUAAAUUUCGUAAAUAUUAUGAAACAAAGUCAACAUAUAUUUUUAUUUUUAUUGAUAAUUAUGUUUUUUGACUAUGUUAUAAAAAAUUUGAUAUUUGUUAUCGACGUAUUUAUUUUCAUUCAAGUGUAAAAACAUCAGAAUAGCAACAUCGUCUCAAGUCUCAAAAAUCGUCUCUAACUUAAAAUCUCAAAUUUAGAGACUUGAAACUGUCUCACAUUACAGAAUCGCACGGUUAUAGCCCUGACAGACGAGCAAAAUUAAUGCGCCUUAAUCAACUCUAAUACGCAUUGAAAUUUUAUGGUGACAGACGGCAGGCUUGUGCAUUUAGACAGCUGAUAGUGAAAUUUGUUUCUUUAUUAAAAAAAAAGUGAAAUAAAAAUGAAUAAGAUAAAUUUUUUUUUUUGUUAAUAUACUUGCACAUAAUUUAAUUAGUAAUAUAAAACUGCUUACCUCUGAUGCUGUAAACGCAAAAGAGGCAAAAGUGUGGAAAAAAGUUAAGAAUAUUGGAAAAAUAGAUAGCAACAGUGCGACAUCUGUCAAUAAAUAGCAAAAAUCGCCCAUUUUUGAUCAGAGUUGCCUACUCAAAUUUAGUAAAAUCAACCAAAUGCACGGAAUUCUUAUGCAUUACAAACUUGCAUUAACAUGGGUCAAAUGCACAAAUAAAUGUCAAUUAAGCCCGCUAAUGCAUAUUAGCGCUGUCGUCUGUCAGGGCUAUUACACUUUCUGUGCAAAAAUAUUAAUUAUAACCACUACACAAAGAUUUGUGAGUAAAAUAUUAAAAGAAGAAUACAAAUAAAAUAAAUGUUUCCCCUUUUAACGAAUACAUUUUUAGAUUUAAAGCAUUAGUCGAUUUAAAAACAAGUAAAAUUGUUCGAAAUCAGUAUUAUUAAAAAAGAGCUGUACAUAUUAUGAUGUAAUUAUUCUUUGUUUCGUUUGCAUAAUAUAAAGAUAUGGUAACGCCAUUUGCUGGUAUACAACUGUAUUCCUUCGUUCUUGUAAAAACUAUUUGUUGUUGUCUGUAUAAAUUGAAGUGAAUGCAAAGCGAAAUAUUAAAUAAAAGUUGUUUUUAGAGAUAAUUAAUACAAAACAAAAAACAAUACAAACAAUUUAGUGAGGUCUUAAUUUAUGAAAAGUGUAUAAUAUGUAGAAGUGUAAAUCUCAAUAAUACUUAAUUGAAAUUGGUGAAUUUAUGAAUUUUAAAUACAAAUAUCUGAAAACUAAGAUCGUGGGAGCUACAUACAUAUAUAUAUGUAUAUAUGCAUAGAAAUAUUUGUAUAUAUAUUAAUACAAUAACAUGAAAAGGCAAAAUGUUCGUACCCUAUCCUUGGUCGUUUGUACGUUUACAUAUUUGCUUAUUGGUGCGGCUGUAUUCGACUCACUGGAAUCACACACAGAAGCGAAGAGAUGGGAUUUUCUGCAAGGUUGGCAUUCCGUUGGGCCUCGUCAUGUUCCAGUCGAUUGGAGAACGUUUAAAUAAGUUCGCUUCAGUAAUAAUACGACGAGCGAAACGUUAUAUGCACUGCACUCAAACCGAGGCAACUGAAAUGAAUUUAAUGUUAG